rnacentral:rRNA from 1 species
AUUGAACGCUGGCGGCAGGCUUAACACAUGCAAGUCGAGCGAGCGGCGGACGGGUGAGUAAUGUCUGGGAAACUGCCUGAUGGAGGGGGAUAACUACUGGCAACGGUAGCUAAUACCGCAUACCAUCAGAUUUGCCCAGAUGGGAUUAGCUAGUUGGUGGGGUAAAGGCUAACCAAGGCGACGGACCCUAGCUGGUCUGAGAGGAUGACCAGCCACACUGGAACGUGGAAACGGUCCAGACACCUACGGUAGGCAGCAGUGGGGAAUAUUGCACAAUGGGCGCAAGCCGUAUGAAGCGAUGCCGCGUGUAUGAAGAAGGCCUUAGGGGUGUAAAGUACUUUCAGCGGUGAGGCGUUACCCGAAGAAGAAGCACCGGCGAACACCGUGCCAGCGGCCGCGGUAAUAC